GAUGAACGCUGGCGGCGUGCCUAAUACAUGCAAGUCGAGCGAACAGACGAGGAGCUUGCUCCUCUGACGUUAGCGGCGGACGGGUGAGUAACACGUGGAUAACCUACCUAUAAGACUGGGAUAACUUCGGGAAACCGGAGCUAAUACCGGAUAAUAUAUUGAACCGCAUGGUUCAAUAGUGAAAGACGGUUUUGCUGUCACUUAUAGAUGGAUCCGCGCCGCAUUAGCUAGUUGGUAAGGUAACGGCUUACCAAGGCAACGAUGCGUAGCCGACCUGAGAGGGUGAUCGGCCACACUGGAGCUGAGACACGGUCCAGAGUCCUACGGGAGGCAGCAGUAGGGAAUCUUCCGCAAUGGGCGAAAGCCUGACGGAGCAACGCCGCGUGAGUGAUGAAGGUCUUCGGAUCGUAAAACUCUGUUAUUAGGGAAGAACAAAUGUGUAAGUAACUAUGCACGUCUGGACGGUACCUAAUCAGAAAGCCACGGCUAACUACGUG
rnacentral:rRNA from 1 species